rnacentral:rRNA from 1 species
CAUUCACGGGCUAUCGGGGGAUUAGGGUUCGAUUCCGGAGAGGGAGCCUGAUAAACGGCUACCACUUCUACGGAAGGCAGCAGGCGCGAAAAUUAUCCAAUCCUGACUCAGGGAGGUAGUGAAAGAAAUAAUGAACUAGGAUUUAUCCUGGGAUCACAAUGGGCUUGAUUUGCAAACACUUAGCGAGGAACAAUUGGAGGGCAAGUCUGGUGCCAGCAGCCGCGGUAAUUCCAGCUCCAAUAGAGUAUAUAAACGUUCCUGCAGUUAUUCGAUGCUCGUAGUUGGAUUUCUGAGGUUGAGACGGGAGGGUGGCUAUGGCCAUCGCCCGACUCUUUCCUCAUCCACCUGUUUGCGAAUCCCGGGAUUGAUUUCUCGGUUUCGGGCGCAGGAUCUUACCAUUUCAUAUUGCGUAGUCUUCAUCGAUUAUGUUGUUUCUUUGAGCAAAUUAUAGUGUUUCAGGCAGGCGUGCGCCGGAAUACGUUAGCAUGGUAUAAACGAAUUGGACCGUGUGCCCGUAACUGGGCUUCUCCUUAUUGUUGGUUUGAAGGACACGGAGAUGGUUAAUAGGGACAGAAUUUAUUCAGGGGGAGGCAUUAGUAUUUAAUUUCCAGAGGUGAAAUUCUUUGAAAUAUUAAAGACUAACAUAUGCGAAAGCAUUCUUUGCCAAUGAUGUUUUCAUUAAUCAUUGAACGAAAGUUAGGGGAUCAAAGACGAUCAGAUACCGUCCUAGUCUUAACCAUAAACGUUGCCGACUAGGGAUCGGAGGGCGUGCACAUUCCGCCUUCGGCACCUUACGAGAAAUCAAAGUCUUUUGGGUUCUGUGGGUAGUAUGGUCGCAAGGCUGAAACUUAAAGGAAUUGACGGAAGGGCACCACCAGGAGUGGAGCUUGCGGCUCAAUUUGACUCAACACGGGAAAUCUUACCAGGUCCAGACAUAGCGAGGAUUGACAGAUUGAUAGCUCUUUCUUGAUUCUAUGGGUAUUUUGGUGGUGCAUGGCCGUUCUUAGUUCGUGGAGUGAUUCGUCUGGUUAAUUCCGUUAAACGAACGAGACCUCAGCCUGCUAAAUAGUUGCUCGUCGAAUAUACGUGACUUGACAACUUCUUAGAGGGACUUUGUGUGCAACCACAAGGAAGUUUGAGGCAAUAACAGGUCUGUGAUGCCCUUAGAUGUCCUGGGCCGCACGCGUGCUACACUGAUACGUACAACGAGGUAUAUGUACUUGUACAUCGAUGCUGCUCCGAAAUAGACGAGCUUAAUCUUAUAAAUACGUAUCGUGCUGCGGAUAGAUCGUUGAAAUUAUGAAUCUUGAAGGUGGAAUUCCUAGUAAGCGCGGGUCACUAACCCGCGUUGAUUACGUCCCUGCCCUUUGYACACACCGCCCGUCGCUCCUACCAAUUUCGAGUGAUCUGGUGAACAUCUUUGGACUGUCGAGCAAUCGCGAAAUUAGAGUGAACCUGAUCACUUAGAGGAAGGAGAAGUCGUAACAAGGUUUCCGUAGGU